UCCCUGGUGGUCCAGUGGUUAGGACUCUGCACUAUCGCGGCUGAGGGCCCAGGGUUCAAUCCCUGGUUAGGGAA